UUUGUGGUGAAUGUUGUCUGGUUCAAGGCAUGGCCACCACAUCUCUUGGUGAAUAUAUGUCCUCGGACCAGGCUUCAUUCCCCUCAAU
rfam:Populus trichocarpa scaffold_15_contig_13, whole genome shotgun sequence.